rnacentral:lncRNA from 1 species
GCAAAACUUUUCCUAUAAAUACCAAGCUACACUCAUUUUUUAAAGGGGGGGCAAUUUUGAAAAAAAAGGGGGAAACAAAACAAACCCUAAACCUAAAUCCAUCACUACCCAAACAGCCGCCCCCCACCCAUCUCAGCCGACCCAGCUUCUUCCCCUCAACAGCCAACAGACCAUCACACAGCCCCCUCCCUUGCCUCUGAUCUGCUCAAGCCGUUGCUCCCUCCCUUGAAAACAAAACUCUGUCCCAAAACAGCCGCUUCCCCACUCAGCCUGCACACCGUUCCCCAUCUUCUUUUCCUUUUCCAGCCAACAACACAGAGCCAAGGACCCCCCUUUGCCGUUUCAGCUCCAUCAGACCUCUCCUCUCUCAGACCGACCGUCAUCGUCCCCCACAGGAGCUGUAGAUCUGUCCUUUCCUCUCCUGUUCAACCGCAGUAAUCAUCCCACAGCUUCUCCAUCCAAAGCUUCCCCCUCAGCAGCCUCUUCUUUGGUGGUUUCUUCAACAGUAACGGCCAAAGAACAACCAAGACCGGUCAUCUCUUUCAACCGAUCGGUUGCAGAUCCACCCUCCGUCAGCCGCAGCAGCGCCCACAGAGCCGUCCCCAUCAUCACCAGAACCACAGACCGGCCUCCCCCGUUGAUAUCUCCGCCUCAACACCGUAAGCCACCUCUCCCAUCUCCAUAGCAGCUCCAGCGGCCGCGGGCGACAACAGAUCUCUUCUCCAUCGCCGCCGGCCAGACCCGACAAAAGCCUAGCAGCCGGCGGCCCUCUUGGUCAUACAGCCGACCACCUGAAACAGAGAAGGAGAAACAAAAAGGAAAAGAACUGAUCUGUAGAGGAGCCGAUCCGAAACGGAGAAAGAGACGCAGAUCUGAAACAAAGGAAAGAAAAACUAAAAUCGACUGCCUGUUGCGUUUUUUUGGGUAUUUUGCAGGUCACACCGGCGAGGACGGGAAGAGGGGAGGAAGCUGUGGCUGACCCCUGUUUUUUUUCAGCGUUUUGUGCGGCGGCGCGUGGAGGAGACGCGCCGCCACAGUUCCUACUGUCCUUUGGCUUCACAUAACUGGUCCCAGCACUGCUAUGAUUUUUUGAAUGGCUUGUUUUGUAAUUUUAGAAUUGUUUAAUGUAAUACUUGUUUAGUUUUGAGUUUUUUUUUGUAAUUUGUAUUUUUGUAAACAUAAAAAAAAAAGAUAAGGAAAAGAAAAGAAAAGAAAAGAAAAAUAGUGAAAGUGUAUGUGUGUGUUUGUAUGUUUUUUAUCUAUGAAUGUGUUUUUUUAUUUAUGAUAAAAUUGCAAAGAUUAAAGAAGAAUUUAAUAUUUUGAUUGGAUCACGGUCAAGAAUUAUUAACUUAUACGUAAGUUGUAUUUCUAAUAUCCGAUGAAAAAACAAUUAUUAAAACUUCUUUAAACACAUCAAAUUCGCGAAGCAGCUUACCUCAGGUAGGGUGCGUUAGGGGUGCUAAUACCUUCCCUAACCACAACCAGUCUCUUACCCGCGAAUCUCUGAUAAGACCAGUACAUCCGGUUUCCUAGUAGCCUUCAAUAAAUUACUAGGUGGCGACUCCAACGAACCAAUCCAAUUCAAAUCAAAACGACAAUGAAAAGAUCGUCAGCCGAUGCCGCGCGGAUUUUUUUGACGUGCGACAAAAUGGCGACUCCACUGGGGAAGGUACUGUUUCUGACAAUAUUGGACUAAGCUUUGUGUAUUUGAUGUGUGUUAGUUUUUGCAUUUUUGUCUUGUUUUAUUUUUAUUUUAUCCAUGCAUUUUUAGAAUUGUUUCAUGCAUCUCCUGUAUUUAUUUUUUAAAGCACACACAAGCUUCUAAGUUAGGUGGUGAAUUAGCGAUCUGCCCUAUGACUAUUGGUCAGGGUUCAGAUGCGUGAAAAACCGAACUCAUAUCUGAGUGCCUGCUUGGUAAUGGUGGGUAGACGUACCUUAACUAUUCCUUGCAACGCCCCCAUACUGUCUUUACGAAGAACGUCACUGGGCAGAUAUGAGACCCUUUUGAGACCAGGUAGAGAACCUACCCAUGUUCACAUAGUGAAUAGAACCUGUCCUUAGGUUGUAUGUGCUAUUUUUAUUUGCAUCAGGGCAAACCCUUCUUGAAGCAUCUUGAACUCAAGACUUGUGGGUGACCUAAUGGCCGUCACUCAGAAAAUUUUCAUUGUAGAGUUUGGGCAAGAAUCAAGAUUCUUGUUUCAUCAUACAAGAGUUACGACCAUAUGUCAACCCUUGAAGGGCGAGUUCAUCAUAUAGUUUACAUGUUCAUACAUUUAUCAUGCAUGUACCGGGUUGAAAGAUAGAUUCUCCCACACAAGCUGUGCUACGCGCGAAUGAAGAAAGAUGAUAGAAGCAAAGAAAGUUGUCGGAGAGAGGCUCAUUGUCAAAAGGAAGUUGAGAGCAUCAGAGGUGAAGUAGCUAGGCUCAGAUCUGCCUGAACAAGUGUAGAGCAUCAAAUGGAAAGGGAAUGUCUGCAUAGUCUUCUGUGGGAACACCGCUCGUCCACGUCCCAUUGAAGCUGCACCUCUCCUUUUCAGUCAUGAACAACGACAACAAUGCUUUCAGUCAUCAACUAGUGACAACUUUUGUUCUUGGUCAGUUGCCCUGUUAAUUGUUCAUCGCCUCCACAUCUUCUAAUGGCACCAAAUAAAUUUAGCCUUUGGUGCAUAGUGCGUUAGUCUUCUUUGAAGUUACCCCACUUUGAGCUCAAUUCCAGUUCAGCGGCACGAGAUGCUGAAUCUUAAAAAAAAAAAAAAAACCAUGAUUAUACACUGAACUUCUAUGUGGCAGAGCUCUCUCUGUAAAGAUUUGUUUGUGGAUCUGCUAGUGGGGAAUGCAAGAGGGGAUGUAGUAGUUUCAUAUGCUUUGAAACUUUCUCUCACCAGUGGCACCAGCAAAACAUUGUAGUAGUCAGAAGAGUCAGACAUGGUCUGAAAAUAUUAGCAGUCGUCAAACUUCAAUGUGGCAGAACUCUCUCUACAAAAAUCUAUUUAUGGCUCUGCAAGUUGGGAAUGCAAGAGGGGAUGUAGUAGUUUCAGACAAUGUGAAAAUUUAUGCCACCAGUUUCCGCACUGAAACACUGUAGUAGGCAGAAAAGCCAGACCUGAGCUAGAAAACAGGAGCAGAUAUAGAACUUCACCGUGGCAGAGCUCUCUCCGCAGAAAUCUGUUUGUUGCUCUGCAAGGGGAGAAUCCAAGAAGGAAUGAAGUAGUUUCAGAUCACCAAUAAGUUUCUCCUACCAGUGUCAACAUUAAAACGCGGAAGUGGGGAAAAGAGACAGACCUCGGCUGAAAAAUAGGAAGAAGAUUGAAACUUCAACAGAGCAGAGCUCCCUCUACAGGUGUCUGUUUGCUGCACUGUCAGUGAGGGAUCGAAGAGGAGACAAAAGAGUGUCAAAUUCAUCAGUUUCUCCAAUAAAAACAAUGCAUCAUUUCACACAUUGACAGUGAUAGCGCUGCAUGUUUCUGUGCGCUGCCAAGAUUACCUAGCUGUUGGAAGGUUUCCAACAAUCCACAAACGACCACAACAACAUUGGAAGAAUGACAUGAUGUUGUGAAGAUCAUCGAAAUAAUUAAGCUAGCUAUGAAGAUGAGAAAGAUUUAAGGUUCUGUCAAGAAUUCCAGAACAAUGAUGAGAGAUGAAUCAGGAGAUGACUCUGAAGAUGAGAAACCAUAGUUAUGUGGUUUAGUCAAGUCGCACUGUAGCACCAGCUACUCAAGUGUCUUUGCCAAGAUUGACAUCUUUCCGCCACCCAAGUUGGACUACUAGCAUCUGUCAGAUUCCAGACUUUUUGCCUGACUCUGUUAAAUCCCAUGCAACCACCGUUUUCUAGGUGGUAUAAUCCAGACAAGAGAUGUGAUGUCAUGGUGGGGUCCUCAGCUAUUUCAAUUGAACAAUUGCAAGAAUCGAGUCUGGAAAUUGGUGAGCAAAAGACGAGAGGAAUCUGUUAAGGAGCUUGUCAUUGAUCAUUUUGUCGCCAGAACAUCCUCAGAAUGACGAGUGAUCGAAAUUGCUCAGUAAACACAGAUAUUGCCAGAAUAGUUGAUCCAAGAAGGGCGUUGAACUGUCAAUCAUGUUGUUAUGGAUUUUUUGCCAUUCUGCAUUUUGUUUUGGGGUCACAUCUCAUCCUUGAACGAAACAUGUCUUUCCUUUGUCUUCCUGUUGUUUUGAAAUCAAGAGAUGCUUCUUUCAAAGGGUAUUUUUUUACAAAUAUUUUUGAUCAAACUCCAACAUGCGAUAAAGGUUAAUCAAUCCUGAAGAUUAAAAGUGUUUUGAUUACAGAAAUGACUCGAUGAUUGUUGAAAUGACAUGAUAACAUGAGGUGACCAAACAAAUUUUGAGCUCAUACCUCCUGAAACUGAACCACGCAUCAUAUAGCUAGUUUUAGCAGUAUGCAUAAUGACAUGUAGUGGAUUCAAUAGUUAUGGACUCGAAUCAUGACUCUUAUAAGUCCAAAUCAUUACACUAGAUGAGGUCAAAAUUUAUCGGUUCUAACCGACCUUGCUUGAAAUGAGAAAAGGCCAUUUUUGUUAUCCUUUCACAUUUCUUGAAAUAUUAUCCCUUGCGGUCCCCAUUUGAGCCUGAUAAAAUAUUUUCUUUCAAGAAACCCUGACUAGCAUCGCACCCCGCACUGGGGGCAAAUAAGAAAAGACAAAAGUGAAAGAGAAGGCUUAGAACAAAAGUCCAAUGAUUGAGAAAGGGCUAGAAGAAGAAAAGCCAUAGAUUGAGGGUCAUCCAAGUAAACUUUGAGGAAGGCUAUGUAAAAGCAAAAAAAAAAAAAAAGGUGGAAUGGAAGGAGAACGCCUAUCAGUUCUAAGAUGGGCAAAAGAGGUUUCAAUUGAAGAAAGACACAACAAAUGCUAAAAGUAAAAAAAAAAAUCAAGUUUCAUAUCUUUUUGUGUGUCUAGGAUAAAUCCUCUGAUGUCUUCAAAAAGAUUAGAUUGGUUAUUCAUCAAAGAAAAGUUGGAUUUGCAUUAUGACUUAUGCUAAGAGAAUUCUGAUCUUUGAGAUUAACAAGGUCAUAUGUCACUUUCUCUACAAUGACCACAAGAGAAAGAGAGUUGAUGAAUAGUUGAUAUUGAUCCUAGGUCUUUGAAACCCUUAAACACCUUUUGAGCAUGAAUUUUCCUUUCUUUCAUAAGUCAUGAACCAUAGCCUGCAUUACGUGCUGUAAAAAGCCCUUUUUAAUCAAGUAAGCAAUCUGAACUGAUAAAUGGCGCUCUCAAAACUUGAAGAGCUUUUCCAUAAGAGUCAUAGCUUCAUGGAUUAAGCUACUGGUUAUUAUGCAUGCUGAUAAAAUUGGUGUAAAAAAAAAAAACAAUCUUUCUUGAUGAAUCCUCAAGUUUUGACUUGAGUCUUUUGUUUUUUGAAAUUCACAUAAAGGUCACCUCAUCACAAACCAUCAAAAGAUAUACCCCAAAAUCAAAGUCUAAAAUGGAUACAAAGAACCAUGAAAAAGUCAUUUUAAACUUACAAUGGGUCAUUUCUGUUUUCAAAAUACAAGACAAUCAAAGGACUAUAUUGAAUAGUGUGUGUUGGGUCUUUGACCAAAAAGCUUGAUUUUCAAAAGAUCUUUUCCAAAACUGAUAUCUCUUUGAUUUCAUUUCAACAAUUAGACUUGAAUUGACAUGAUCUUUGAAAUAUGAGAGUUGAUUCCAGAACAAGAAAGAUUGUUAAACAACAAGAACAUCGACCGAAUUUGCAAAAUCCUUGACAAGAAUGACAUCAACAUUUCUCGACACUCCUUGAAAAGUUGACCACCUGGAGGCAAUACAGUGGAUCAUGGGUAGGAAAACAAACAGUAUUCAUAUCAGCUGGGGGCAAUGAAAGAUGAUUAAAUGAUGAAUCAGUGUACUAAAGACAAUGGUGUUCAAAGAAAGAUAAUCAAUGAACGAGCACAUUCAGAUCAUAUUGGGGGCAAUGUUGUUCAAAGAUAGUCCAUGAUCUAGUGAACCCCGUCAACAAUCGGGAAAGCAAAGAUACACUUGAAGGAAAUCUUUAUAUCGUCAUCUUUUGAAACAUGGCUAUCAACCGAUAUGGGCAUACAGUUGCAUUCGAACGAAUAUGGAAAAGAUGUGCACACCACCAAGAUUGAUUGCGGAACAAUGUUGUACUUGAAGGAUAAUGUCAUAUUAUCAUCUCCAACAUGGCUAUGACUUUUGAACGAUGUUAUCGCAUAGUUGUAUUUGAAUGAAUAUUGGAAGGAUGCACUCACCAAGACUGACUGUGGGACCAUCUUGAAGCUCGAAGGCGCACUUCAUCGCAUGAAUAUGGGUGAUAAAAUGAACAUCAUUGAUGAUGCCACUGCAUUUCUUUUCACAAUCCGAUUAGAAGAGCUAAGGGGAAUCUAUUGAGAAUAACACUGAGCAUACAACCAUGAGCCUUUGUACUGCAAGCUAUGAGAUGCAUGUCUGGAUGAUUGGAUAGUUUCAAUGAAGAUUGAUGAUAACAUAUACUUGAAGAGUAUUGUUUCAACUGGGGGCAAGUUCAUGACUGAUUAACAAUCUUGAUGGGUGUUGGCAUGAGGCACACAACCAAUCGAAAGAUAAUUUUCAGAAGAAUCCAGGAGAGAAAAUCCUUCAUGAUGAAUCAAGCAACACCGCACUUGGGGGCAGAGUCAAGCUUGAUAAACAACAAGAGCAGUAACCGUCAAAGACAGCCCCGGAUGUGCACUGCACUUACAACUGAGUGGAUGACUAGCACAUGAAUGAGCCAAUGCAUCGAAAGAACCAAUAAAGCUUUGGAAUGCAAACAAAGGCACCCUAUGACGAUGGAUCAUCAAAGGGGGGGCCUAUAUUUCACAUCAGGUAAGGAUGCAUGCAUGUCAUCUAACCUCAAAGCAUUGCACAUACUUGUGAUUUGUUACAGAAAGAUCCUCAAUGAAGUCCAGCAAGAUUGUGGACAAAGAAAGAAUCAUUGAGUUGAUAAUAACAGAGAAUCAUGGUUGUGACCUUGAAACGGGAAGAAGAUGAGAUAAACCUUACUGUUAGGAAAAUCUCAAAGAAAUGAAAAGAUCAACCUUGCAAUCAGGAAGCAUCGAGUUUUCAAAUCCUGCGAUCAAGAAUUAUCAAGAAGCACCAAGUUUUCCGGCCCUUCUUCUAUCAUCCCUUCAGGACUUCGCCAGGUAAGUCCCAUUUUUCACACUUGUCACAUCACAUCUUUCACAUGGGUAGGUCACCCAUAAUAAUGAGACCGCUUCAUAUUUUUCUCAUCUUCCACCUGGGUAGGUCACCCAUAACAAUGAGACCACUUCACAUUUUUUCUAUCUUCCACCUGGGUAGGUCACCCAUUAUAACGCGACCACUUCACAUUUUUUCUAUCUUCCACCUGGGUAGGUCACCCAUUAUAACGCGACCACUUCACAUUUUUUCUAUCUUCCACCUGGGUAAGUCACCCAUUAUAAUGAGACCGCACUUCACAUUCUUUCCAUUUGGGUAGGUCACCCAUCAUAAUGAGACCGUUUUCCAUAUUAUUUUUCUUGGGUAGGUCACCCAUACAAUGAGACCAUCAUUUUUCUUGGGUUCGUCACCCAUACAAUGAGACCAUCAUUUUUCUUGGGUUCGUCACCCAUACAAUGAGACCAUCAUUUUUCUUGGGUUCGUCACCCAUUACAAUGAGACCAUUUGUUCCACAUUCUUUGUUUUGGUUUAAUGAGGUCGCCAGAUGGGAUCUCAUGUAACUUUGGUUAAAGGGAAUCGCCAGAUGGGAUUUCAGGUUGACCGAGUUACGUAACAUCUUUUAGUUUUGGUUUAAUGAGGUCGCCAGAUGGGAUCUCAUGUAGCUUUGGUUAAAGGGAAUCGCCAGAUGGGAUUUCAGGUUGACCGAGCUACCACACAUUUUUUAGUUCUAGUUGAAUGAGGUCGCCAGAUGGGAUCUCAUGUAGCUUUGGUUAAAGGGAAUCGCCAGAUGGGAUUUCAGGUUGACCGAGCUACCAUAUUUUUUAGUUCCAGUUGAAUGAGGUCGCCAGAUGGGAUCUCAUGUAGCUUUGGUUAAAGGGAAUCGCCAGAUGGGAUUUCAGGUUGACCGAGCUACACACAUUUUUUUAGUUUUGGUUUAAUGAGGUCGCCAGAUGGGAUCUCAUGUUGGUUCUGGUUAAAGGGGAUCGCCGGAUGGGAUCUCAGGUUAGCCCAACCACACACAGGAUAUUGGUUCUGGUUAAAGGGGAUCGCCGGACGGGAUCUCAGGUUAGCCCAACCACACACAAGAUAUUGGUUCUGGUUAAAGGGGAUCACCGGACGGGAUCUCAGGUUAGCCCAACCACACAAGAUAUUGGUUCUGGUUAAAGGGGAUCGUCGAACGCGAUCCCAGGUUAGCCCAACCACACACAGGAUAAUGGUUCUGGUUAAAGGGGAUCGCCCGAUGGGAUCUUAGGUUAGCCCAACCACACACAAGAUUUUGGUUCUGGUUAAAGGGGGUUGUCGGACGGGAUCUCAGGUUAGCCCAACCACACACGAUAUUGGUUCUGGUUAAAGGGGAUCGCCGGACGAGAUCUCAGGUUAGCCCAACCACGCAGAUUUUGGUUUUGGUUCAAGGAGAUCGCCUGAUGGGAUCUCAGGUAAAAAAAAAAAACAAAAAAAAAGAAAGAAACAUUUAGAGUUUUUCUUUACAAAGCUUACUAUGCGAAACAUUGAAGAGUUUUGCUUCGUAAGCAUUGUAAAGAGGGGGCACCUGUUGCUACCCAAUUUUUGACCUAUGUUUUGAUAAAUUUUCAGAAAAAUCCAAAAAUAGCGAAAAAAACAUUGAAAAAUCCAAAAAUAGCGAAAAAACAUUGAAAAUCCCAAAAAUACAUUUUUUAUACAUUUGUAUCGUUUUUAGCAUUUUUAGCAUCGUCUCAAAAAGAAUUUAAAUUUUCAAAGACAUUUGGAACGCGUUCAACUUUUCACGCGUCAUUUUUAAAAUCAUUGAUUUUCCGCAUUGAGUCGAUGUUGAUAUUUGCUCGCUUUCAAAAAUACAAAAAAUAAGAAAAAUCAAAAUUUACAAAAAAAGAGGAAAAGAGAAGGAAAGGAAAAGUUGAGGGACUAGUUUGAAAACCUAGCAAAACUUUUCCUAUAAAUACCAAGCUACACUGAUUUUUUAAAGUGGGGGGCAAUUUUGAAAAAAAAGGGGGAAACAAAACAAACCCUAAACCUAAAUCCAUCACUACCCAAACAGCCGCCCCCCACCCAUCUCAGCCGACCCAACUUCUUCCCCUCAACAGCCAACAGACCAUCACACAGCCCCCUCCCUUGCCUCUGAUCUGCUCAAGCCGUUGCUCCCUCCCUUGAAAACAAAACUCUGUCCCAAAACAGCCGCUUCCCCACUCAGCCUGCACACCGUUCCCCAUCUUCUUUUCCUUUUCCAGCCAACAACACAGAGCCAAGGACCCCCCUUUGCCGUUUCAGCUCCAUCAGACCUCUCCUCUCUCAGACCGACCGUCAUCGUCCCCCACAGGAGCUGUAGAUCUGUCCUUUCCUCUCCUGUUCAACCGCAGUAAUCAUCCCACAGCUUCUCCAUCCAAAGCUUCCCCCUCAGCAGCCUCUUCUUCGAUGGUUUCUUCAACAGUAACGGCCAAAGAACAACCAAGACCGGUCAUCUCUUUCAACCGAUCGGUUGCAGAUCCACCCUCCGUCAGCCGCAGCAGCGCCCACAGAGCCGUCCCCAUCAUCACCAGAACCAUAGACCGGCCUCCCCCGUUGAUAUCUCCGCCUCAACACCGUCAGCCACCUCUCCCAUCUCCAUAGCAGCUCCAGCGGCCGCGGGCGACAGCAGAUCUCUUCUCCAUCGCCGCCGGCCAGACCCGACAAAAGCCUAGCAGCCGGCGGUCCUCUUGGUCAUACAGCCGACCACCUGAAACAGAGAAGGAGAAACAAAAAGGAAAAGAACCGAUCUGUAGAGGAGCCGAUCCGAAACGGAGAAAGAGACGCAGAUCUGAAACAAAGGAAAGAAAAACUAAAAUCGACUGCCUGUUGCGUUUUUUUGGGUAUUUUGCAGGUCACACUGGCGAGGACGGGAAGAGGGGAGGAAGCUGUGGCUGACCCCUGUUUUUUUUCAGCGUUUUGUGCGGCGGCGCGUGGAGGAGACGCGCCGCCACAGUUCCUACUGUCCUUUGGCUUCACAUAACUGGUCCCAGCACUGCUAUGAUUUUUUGAAUGGCUUGUUUUGUAAUUUUAGAAUUGUUUGAUGUAAUAUUUGUUUAGUUUUGAGUUUUUUUUUUGUAAUUUGUAUUUUUGUAAACAUAAAAAAAAAAGAUAAGGAAAAGAAAAGAAAAGAAAAGAAAAAUAGUGAAAGUGUAUGUGUGUGUUUGUAUGUUUUUUAUCUAUGAAUGUGUUUUUUUAUUUAUGAUAAAAUUGCAAAGAUUAAAGAAGAAUUUAAUAUUUUGAUUGGAUCACGGUCAAGAAUUAUUAACUUAUACGUAAGUUGUAUUUCUAAUAUCCGAUGAAAAAACAAUUAUUAAAACUUCUUUAAACACAUCAAAUUCGCGAAGCAGCUUAC